rnacentral:sRNA from 1 species
CGCGAGUGGUGACGGCGGGGAACACGGCCUUGCUGGCGGCCCGCGGGCCCGAAGAGCUUCUGUGCUUCACCGAGCGGUUGGAGGACUUGGUGUGUUUCUGGGAGGAAGCGGCGAGCGCUGGGGUGGGCCCGGGCAACUACAGCUUCUCCUACCAGCUCGAGUGAGUCCGAUCCGGCGGGCGCCUCCACGGGCGGAGGGAGGGGGUGGGGCAGAGCUCCCUGGAGGUCGUAGCCUCGUAUGUCCCCUGCUGUUCGAGGCCCAACGGCGCCUCCAGUCGUGGUCACUGGAGGGAAACCUGCGGGUCCAGGGCUGGCACGCCCUCUAUGGGCCGGGGCGCGAAUACUCCCGCGAUCACCGCUGGAACGCGACCCCAAACAUCAGGCUGGGAUAACAACGCCUCCAAAUCUAGGGGAUGAGCCAUGGAAGCUGUGUCGCCUGCACCAGGCUCCCACGGCUCGUGGUGCGGUGCGCUUCUGGUGUUCGCUGCCCACAGCCGACACGUCGAGCUUCGUGCCCCUAGAGUUGCGCGUCACAGCAGCCUCCGGCGCUCCGCGAUAUCACCGUGUCAUCCACAUCAAUGAAGUAGGUAAGUGCUCUGGGAAUGGAGGAGUGGUCUUAGGAGAGUGUCUCAGUCCUCGCCCACCUGACCAACCCCAUGCCUGCAGUGCUCCUGGACGCCCCCGUGGGGCUGGUGGCGCGGUUGGCUGACGAGAGCGGCCACGUAGUGUUGCGCUGGCUCCCGCCGCCUGAGACACCCAUGACGUCCCACAUCCGCUACGAGGUGGACGUCUCGGCCGGCAACGGCGCAGGGAGCGUGCAGAGGGUGGAGAUCCUGGAGGGCCGCACCGAGUGUGUGCUGAGCAACCUGCGGGGCCGGACGCGCUACACCUUCGCCGUCCGCGCGCGUAUGGCUGAGCCGAGCUUCGGCGGCUUCUGGAGCGCCUGGUCGGAGCCUGUGUCGCUGCUGACGCCUAGUGACCUGGACCCCCUCAUCCUGACGCUCUCCCUCAUCCUCGUGCUCAUCCUGGUGCUGCUGACCGUGCUCGCGCUGCUCUCCCACCGCCG